ensembl:lncRNA
AUGGAAAACAGAGCUUCAGAGAUUCUGCUCAUUUCCUGCUUGACGCAUCAUCUUGGUUUCGCCUGUAGAAUGAGUUCUGGGGCACUUACAGACAAUAUCUUUGCAGAUUCUGAAACUUCAGAGUGUUUUCUUUCAAAAACUGUCAAGAAUAUGCAUAGUCGAGCAUCUUUUCGUGACAAAAUAUCGCGCUUAAAACGGGAACGUUUUUUAUCCAAAAAUGAAAUAGCGCCCCUAGAGAUCCAACAGGUUAAAACAAUGAAAGCCUUUGGGUUUGGGGAUGUUUUUCUGUCUUGGGUGAAUUUACUGUAUGCUGGAGCCUCGUGUAUGGUGAAGGUUGGUGGUGGUUUGAGUUGCCCCAUCCCUGUCGAAAGGGGCAUCAGGCAGGGAUGCCCAAUUUCAGGGCAGUUAUAUAGUCUGGCGAUUGAACCAAUGCUUUGUUUUUUAAGAGCGAAGCUUACUAGUUUCUCUGUGCCAGGUGUAAUGAAGGGUCCCACGAUAGCACUGUCUGCGUAUGCAGAUGACGUGAUCGUUUUUAUUACAGGGGGUGAGGAUGUUAAGGUUCUCUCAAACACUUUAAAGGUGUAUGAGGGGGCCUCCUCAGCUAGAGUCAAUUGGGGAAAGAGUGAAGCGCUGUGGGCAGGUCAGCUUCAGAUGGGGUCCGCUCCGCGGUUACCAGGGGGGCUUCAGUGGGGCAGAGAUGGAAUGAAGACUUUGGGAGUUUUUCUAGGCUCCGAUGUCUUUCAGAAAAAGAACUGGGAGGGUGUAGUGGAGAAAGUGUGUGCCAGACUGUCAAGGUGGAAAUGGGUGUUGCCCCAGCUGUCCUAUAGGGGACGGGUCCUGGUAGCUAAUAAUCUUGCUGCUUCUACCCUGUGGCACAGACUAAUGAUUUUACAGCCACCAAAGGGUCUGAUACAAGAGCUUCAGAGGACCCUUGUCAAUUUCUUCUGGUCUGGACAACACUGGAUCAAAGCUGCAGCCUUGUAUCUGCCACUGCACGAGGGUGGGCAAGGCCUGGUGGACAUUUCCUCUAGGAUCACGGCUUUCUGGCUCCAAGCAGCCCAGAGAUUGUUGUACAGAGACUGUUCUAGCUGGGUCGAAACAGCCUACAUAUUGAUGAGGAGAGCGGGCUGUUUGGGCUUAGACAAACAUAUUUUCCUCUUAAAGCUGGAGGGGGGUGAUUUGACUGGCCUGACUCCAUUUUAUGAGUCUGUUAUGCAGGCUUGGAGAGUCUUUGUCAAGUCCCGUAAGACCGGCACGCCACCAGGGAUGUGGCUUUUUGAAGAGCCUCUUUUUCACAACACUGCCAUCCAGUCCCGUGUUCUGGGUUCAGCUAGCCUACGUUCAUGCCUAUUAGGCGUGGGGUGUACCAAGCUGGGUCAUCUGAUGCGGAGCAGGAGCAGAUUGGAGGAGCUGAGAGAAAGAGCGGGGAUCCGAUCAUCUCGCCUACUGAGGAAGGUCGUCGAUGAGGUCUGCGACUCCUUGAAAUUGCUUCAUCUGCAGUAUGUGACUGACAUUUCCAAUUCUGAUCGGUGGAAGGAGGGUCUGGAUUAUGUGUUCCCUGCACUGAUUGUUAGUGCUGCGAUGGGGGCAUUUGAGGAGGACGCGGGGAGGCUGCUUUCCUUCGAUACCCCGGAGCUGGGGGAGUUCAAGGAGGUGGGAAAGAAGGCUAUGUACAGAACAUGUGUGAAGGUGUCCCAUGCCUCUUCCCUGGAAGGGGUAAAAUCGACGAGGUGGGCGGAUGUGCUUGGUCCAGGUGCUUCUCCAAAAGGCUGUUGGCGAUCAUUAUAUAAACUGCCUAUUGAUAAGAGGACAGCUGACCUCCAAUGGAGGAUAAUACAUGGAGCUAUAGCCACCAACAUGCAUCUGGUACACCUGGACCCUACUGUUGGGAAGGGGUGUCCAUUCUGUGCUGAGGAUGAAUCUCUGGCAUAUCUGCUUUUGCUGUGUCCCAGGUUGGUUGGGAUGAUUGAACUGAUCACUGAUUGGUUCUCAAUGUUGGGAGAGGUUUUCUCUUCCCAACUGUAUAUAUUUGGGCCAAAGUACAGGUUCAGUCAAAAGGGUGUAGUUGUGUUGCUUAAUUUUGUGUUAGGGGCAGCAAAAUUAGCGAUAUGGAAGACCCGAAAGAACAGCAUUCGGGGACAGGGGUCUGUGGAUGUGGUGGGAAUGCUGGAGGGAAUGUUGGCAGCGAGAGUAAGGGUUGAGUUUGCCUAUUAUAAACUUGUCAACAAUAUUGAUCUGUUUUUGAGUAUAUGGGGUAUUCAGAGGCUGUUGUGUUUUGUUACUGUGGAGGAGGAAUUGGAGUUGUGUUUUUAA